rnacentral:rRNA from 1 species
UAAACUUCUGUCCUAGAGGAAGAUAAUGACGGUACUCUUGGAGGAAGCCCCGGCUAACUACGUGCCAGCAGCUGCGGUAAUACGUAGGGGGCAAGCGUUAUCCGGAAUUAUUGGGCGUAAAGAGUGCGUAGGUGGUUACCUAAGCAGGGGGUGAAAGGCACUGGCUUAACCAAUGUCAGCCCCCUGAACUGGGCUACUUGAGUGCAGGAGAGGAAAGUGGAAUUCCUAGUGUAGCGGUGAAAUGCGUAGAUAUUAGGAGGAACACCAGUGGCGAAGGCGACUUUCUGGACUGUUACUGACACUGAGGCACGAAAGUGUGGGGAGCAAACAGGAUUAGAUACCCUGGUAGUCCACACCGUAAACGAUGAGCACUAGGUGUCGGGGGAGCAAUUUCUCGGUGCCGCAGUUAACGCAUUAAGUGCUCCGCCUGGGGAGUACGUACGCAAGUAUGAAACUCAAAGGAAUUGACGGGGACCCGCACAAGCAGCGGAGCAUGUGGUUUAAUUCGAAGCAACGCGAAGAACCUUACCAGGUCUUGACAUCCCUCUGAAACUCCUGAUAACGAUGGAGCCUCCUUCGGGACAGAGGAGACAGGUGGUGCAUGGUUGUCGUCAGCUCGUGUCGUGAGAUGUUGGGUUAAGUCCCGCAACGAGCGCAACCCUUGCCGAUAGUUGCCAUCAUUAAGUUGGGCACUCUAUCGGGACUGCCGGGGACAACUCGGAGGAAGGUGGGGAUGACGUCAAAUCAUCAUGCCCCUUAUGAUCUGGGCUACACACGUGCUACAAUGGUCGGUACAAAAGGCAGCAAACCUGUGAGGGGGAGCAAAUCCCAAAAACCGAUCCCAGUUCGGACUGUAGGCUGCAACUCGCCUACACGAAGUCGGAGUUGCUAGUAAUCGUGGAUCAGAAUGCCACGGUGAAUGCGUUCCCGGGUCUUGUACACACCGCCCGUCACACCACGGAAGUUGGGGGUGCCCGAAGUUGG